rnacentral:rRNA from 1 species
GGUGAUCUACCCAUGUCCAGGAUGAAGGUAAGGUAAUACUUACUGGAGGUCCGAACCCACGCACGUUGAAAAGUGCGGGGAUGAGGUGUGGGUAGCGGAGAAAUUCCAAUCGAACUUGGAGAUAGCUGGUUCUCUCCGAAAUAGCUUUAGGGCUAGCCUCGAGGUAAAGAGUCAUGGAGGUAGAGCACUGUUUGGACUAGGGGCCCUUCUCGGGUUACCGAAUUCAGAUAAACUCCGAAUGCCAUGUACUUAUACUCGGGAGUCAGACUGCGAGUGAUAAGAUCCGUAGUCGAAAGGGAAACAGCCCAGACCACCAGUUAAGGUCCCCAAAUAUAUGUUAAGUGGAAAAGGAUGUGGGGUUGCUUAGACAACCAGGAUGUUGGCUUAGAAGCAGCCACCAUUGAAAGAGUGCGUAAUAGCUCACUGGUCGAGUGACCCCGCGCCGAAAAUGUACCGGGGCUAAACAUAUUACCGAAACUGUGGAUGAACCUCUUUAGAGGUUCGUGGUAGGAGAGCGUUCUAAGGGCGGUGAAGUCAGACCGGAAGGACUGGUGGAGCGCUUAGAAGUGAGAAUGCCGGUAUGAGUAGCGAAAGAAGGGUGAGAAUCCCUUCCACCGAAUAUCUAAGGUUUCCUGAGGAAGGCUCGUCCGCUCAGGGUUAGUCGGGACCUAAGCCGAGGCCGAUAGGCGUAGGCGAUGGACAACAGGUAGAGAUUCCUGUACCAGUGCUAAUUGUUUAACCGAUGGGGUGACACAGAAGGAUAGGGAAUCGCACGAAUGGAAAUGUGCGUCCAAGCAGUGA